rnacentral:misc_RNA from 1 species
GACAAGAACUGCAGAUGGAGAUGAGGGUGGGAAGCAUCAGUUGAUCACAGCAACUGUGAGUGAUGGAAAGCUUUACAUCUGCAAGGCACAAGCAGGAGACAAGAGGUGGUUUAAAGGAGCAAGGAAGUUUGUGGAGGGUGCAGCUAGUUCUUUCAGUGUUGCUUAAAAAGAAAGAGAGAGCGAUGUUGUUUGAUUAGUAAUGAGGUGUUUGUUGUAUAUUUUGGAGAACAUUACCUUAACCAAUGAAAGGGAUUGUCAAUGUUUGUGUUGAGAUGUUGUUAAUGGCCUUUAUUCUUUUGGUUCUCCAUAAAGUUGUUUUUAAGGGUUGGGUGAAUGAAGCUUUUAGAAGGAAG